AAUUGUGUCUUCCACGAAUUUUAGCAAACAGAAAGUUGAAAUGCUACGUAUUGCUGAUAUGGGUGGUUUGAGAUUUAGUGUCAAACAGCCUAUUCUUUCAGCAAGUACAAAUAAAAGUAUUCAUUUGCCAUGGAAUCAUGAAUUAUGAUGCAGAAAAUUUCCAAAAAUUUACUUACUCAAGAUAUUGGGUGUUACUGUAUGGAAGGAACUAAAUUAACUUUUCCACAUUUACAAUUUGACUGCAAUUGUGCCUAUGUGGUAAAGCAAGUAUGGCAGGGCAUCUUCUUUGUGUAGAGGUGUCAAGCGCUACGUCAUCGCCAUUAUAUCAUCACAUGAUAGGAACCGCAGGUUCAGGUUCGGCAGAAGUUUUGAGUCUCAUCCCAGGGGCUUUGUGUGGAAAGUCACAGUCUUAAACUUGAUAGCUUUCCUAAUCCUGAUCCUCUGAUGCACACCCUGGAGUGUUUGUUACGUAAUUUCUUGUUUUUCAGCAUUAGCCACAAUAAGUGGCUCCUUCACCCGUUUGUGGAGAAAUAUUCAAAAGUAAUUGUUAUUCAAUCAAUUUCAGACGUAAUUUCUCUUAUAGAUAACUUAAAUUUAAUAAUUUUAAAUUUGAGACAACCAUGAGCAUUCUAAAAUUACAUGCACAUAAAUAAUUUAUUUUGAUGUUUCCGUCACUUACAUGUCAGUUUCUGUUGAGCAAACCUAACCCAAAGGGCUAUGAAUCUCUCACUAUUCAAUAAACCUUUACAAAAGAUCACCUGCUCUCUCUAUUUUUGGGUCUGUUGGGUGGACAUUGGGCUCAGUCUGUGUCGUCUGGGGUGACCAUCGGUAACCCGAGGGCUCGUGACACCACGUAUAACUUUCCCUCCCGCUCCAUCUCUCCUCGCACACGCCUAGACAGGCCAAACAAUGGGAGUCCAUAUGCCCCAAGUGCUUCAAAUGUGGAUUAGCAAAGGACUACUACCAUGAACUCAGUCUGGGCAUAUGCAAUCGCAGUGGGUCUGCAUCUAUUCAUCCAGAGUGCAACGGCAAACAAACUGGUUUGUUAUUUCACCAAGUGGUCGCAGUACAGAACCGGUGUGGGGAGAUACCUGCCGGGGGACAUAGACCCUUGGCUCUGCACACACCUGGUCUACGCCUUCGCAGUGGUCAAUUAUGCCAACGAGAUCACAGAAAACGAGUGGAAUGAACACACACUCUACAGGCAGUUCAAUGAGCUCAAAAACAGGUACGCCAAUUGUUCAUGGUGGACAAUCCAACAUACAAAAUAUUAAUAUUUGUUUUACUUAUAAGUGAGGAAUGCAAUGCGCACCAAUAUUGUGUUCAAUUUAGUCUCGUGAUUCUCAUGUAUUCAGCCAGAAGUAAACAAAUGCCAAAAAAACAUGAAACUCAAUAAAAACACAAUUUAAUCCCAACAAAGUGGGGAAAG